rnacentral:piRNA from 1 species
UGUUUAUAAGAAUGUUAAACCAACCCAGA